rnacentral:lncRNA from 1 species
CUCUUGGUAAAACUGAACAACUAAAUGCACAAAGAAAAUGCAAUGACAUAUAUAGUUUGAAUUUACCUAUCCUAUUCUACCUAGAAGAUAGAACAAAACUUUGCUGAUUUGUUAACGGAUUCAUUUUCAGACUCAUCCCUCCCAUCUUUCCUUGAAGGAGAGUUACACUUUGAGUCUGUGCAUUUUGACGAAGCAAAGCCAGACAUGUCUCCUGGAACGUUACCGGUGCUGAGAGAGGAAGAGGAAGAUGUAGGACAGGAAGAGAUAGAGGGAGAGCCUGGUGGAGAAACUGAAACUGUAUCUGACCAUAUCUCAGUGGAGAUAUAUGAUGACGAAGAGGAGACUCAACAUAUUGAUGAGGAAGAGAUAGGUUCAGGAGAAGAGGAGACUCAACCUAUUGAUGAGGAAGAGAUAGGUUCAGGAGAAGAGGAGACUCAACAUAUUGAUGAGGAAGAGAUGGGUUCAGGACAUGAGGAUAGUCAACCUAUUGAUGAGGAAGAGAUGGGUUCAGGACAUGAGGAUACUCAACCUAUUGAUGAGGAAGAGGCAGAGAUGAUGGACUCAGGAGAAGAAGAGGACACAGGAAUAAAGAACCUUGGCUCGCCAGGGGGUUGGUCUGUGGUUGUUCACUACGAUGAAGAAAGCCGGGAUGGUGCACUCCAGGACAUAGAGAAGAUUGUAACCACAGGACAACCUUUUGCCGAACAAGACAGUGAAAACCGUGAAGACAGAAACGCAGAGCAAGGUGCUUUCGAGAACAGUGAUGUGAGGUGUUUUGUGGGUGUCACUGAAGACGUGACCAUGGAGAUCACAGCAGAUAUAUGUGAAGAAGGGGAAGAAAACCAAGAGGAAUCAUCUGAUUCAGACCUGGAGGUCCUGACUAGCUCUAUCACCAAAAAACAGAGAAAAGAGGGAAAUAAAGUAGCGAACUUACUCUCCCAGCAGACUGUUCCUCAGGAGAAUGAAGAGGAAGACGAGCAAGAAGAAGAUGGAGCUCCAGAGGUUGUUUAUGAUUGGCCAGAUCCUGCAGCAACACAGAAUGUGCAAGCUCUUAUGGUCAACGCCUUUGUGGAACACCCGCUUCAGAAGAAAAUUAAGGAGUUCCAAUUGGACGACAACCAAGAGGCGGAUGAAAGAUUUGCAGAUUACCCCUCUGUCUGCUCUCCGUGUAAAUACAAAAAGGACGGAGGAAAACUGUCUAGUCCCUUGGAGGGUAUCUGGAAUACAGAAGAGAAAGUAGACGUCAUGGAAGAGGUAACAGCCUCUAUCUCUCCACGCGUAGAAGGUGAGCAAGAUUUAGCAGAUUCUGCAAUGUUUAAUACCAAUAUUGACACUAGCAUGAGGAAGAGUAUUGGAUACCAUCUUGAACCUCAGAGUGACAGCAAUAGUUCCAGUGGCAGUUCUAGUGAGGAUGAGGAGGAACAACAGAAGUAUAAGGAAGAACAUCAAGCGCUGCCAAGAUACCAGGGUCUUCCUCGGAGAGACCGGGGGUCUGAGGAUUCUCCUCUUCAAGUUCAGUGGGGAGGUGGAGAGGAGGACGGCUCCAAGCAGAGCGUUGCUGCCGACCUGCAUCUUUCAGAAACCAUCUCCGAUGUCCCCACGUUUACCCUUCACAGUGAGGCCAGACGCGGUAGAGCAGCUAUAACUAUCUCCAGAGGUACCGGCAACAUGUCACCAUCUGGCUCUGAGGAAAGUUUGCCCGGAGCGUUGUGGACAUCGGAGGCUGAACAAAGAGAGGAUAAACGAGAGACUUGGCUUUGGGGUGAGGCUGGGCCAGCCUCUGAGGAUAGUUUGCCCGGAGCAUUGUGGACAUCGGAGGCUGAACAAAGAGAAGAUAAACGAGAGACUUGGCUUUGGGGUGAGGCUGGGCCAGGCGCUUUAGAAGAGGAACAUCUUUGCAAAGUUCAACUGGAAGUAGCAGGAAGGUUGAAGAGCCACAUUCACACUGAUAUAAACUGGGACACAGGGGAAAAUAAUGCGGAAUGUGGUGGUUUAAUUCAAGAUUACCAACAUGACGCGUCUGGAAUCACAGAGAGUGGAGAACUUGCAGACGAAGAGGAUGACGAAGAGGAUAAUAGGAGUUGGGAACAAGAGAAAGAGAGAAUCAAGGCAUUCUACAAGUUUUAUAAUGAUGAAGAGGAAGAGGGGGAGAAUGCCACUGGAACAGAAGGUGAUUUUUCAGGGAGGAGGCCUAGAGUUCAGUUCUGCAUGAAUCCCCUGCCUCAAGUCAUUGAAUACACAGACAGUAGUGAUGUUGAUUUGGUCGACAACUUAUCUGAUGGAGACGAGGACCUGGAUUCUACAGAAAGGCUUGAAGAGCAGAGUGAGCCUGAGAGACAGAGAAUGAGUUUACCCGAGACUCGGGAGCCACAAGGAGAACUACAAGAUCUCAGCAAAAUGCCUCAGACCCACACCAAGAGAGACCAGUGUCUGAGGGUGCUAAAGUUACUGGUGAAGAUAACCCUGUUGACAGUGAUUGGACUUCUGACAUUUUGGUGGACAAGAUACCAACUGGACUUGGACUGGUGA